GUGAAUCAUCAAAUCUUUGAACGCAAAUUGCACUCCCUGGUAUUCCGGGGAGUAUGCCUGCUUGAGGGUCGUUAGAAGAAAAAUCGAAGCAUCGCUCUUUUUUUGAGGGUGUUCGCGUCGGAAUUGAGCGGUUUUCCAAAUGUUAAUUUAUGUCAAAGUGUCCUAAAAUUCAUCCAUCGGGUUCGAUUAAAGCG
rnacentral:misc_RNA from 1 species